rnacentral:rRNA from 1 species
GAUGAACGCUGGCGGCGUGCCUAAUACAUGCAAGUCGAGCGAACAGACGAGGAGUUUGCUCCUCUGACGUUAGCGGCGGACGGGUGAGUAACACGUGGAUAACCUACCUAUAAGACUGGGAUAACUUCGGGAAACCGGCGCUAAUACCGGAUAAUAUAUUGAACCGCAUGUUUCAAUAGUGAAAGACGGUUUUGCUGUCACUUAUAGAUGGAUCCGCGCCGCAUUAGCUAGUUGUUAAGGUAACGGCUUACCAAGGCAACGAUGCGUAGCCGACCUGAGAGGGUGAUAGGCCACACUGGAACUGAGACACGGUCCAGACUCCUACGGGAGGAAGCAGUAGGGAAUCUUCCGAAAUGGGCGAAAGCCUGAAGGAGCAACGCCGCGUGAGUGAGGAAGGUCUUCAGAUCGUAAAACUCUGUUAUUAGGGAAGAACAAAUGUGUAAGUAGCUAUGCACGUCUUGACGGUACCUAGUCAGAAAGCCACGGCUAACUACGUG